CCUCCAUCCAUGCAGCAUGGUGAACUCUGGGUGGCAGAGCAAAGUCUGUGCGCAUUCACGUGGCAACCCCUUCACAUGCCCUUACCGCCGUGAUCAAAACCGCUUUCCCGAUGCCGCUUAUUCCCCAUUGAAAUGACUGAGAAGCGGCAAGUUACCGCGCACCGGUGUUACCUUAAAACGACCUGAAGAGCUCCAAAGAAAACUGAGCUCAGUCAUUUGGGCCUUGAUGUGCUUUGCCAUGUACCAGCCGCCAGCAGCACCGACGCCUGAGGACAAUGGUCAGCCACCCAGCGAAGCACAAGUAACUGGAAGUGACAGCUAAUGGAGAGGAGAGAGGCGCAUGUAUCAGAUGGUAAAGGUUGGGUCCUGACAAUUGGAAGAAUAAAAAGGAAUCCAAAUAUGGGGACCGGAACCAAAAAAACAACACCUGAACACCCACGCAUCAUAAUCCUGAAUCACCUGCCUUUCUUGGAAACUGGAGCAGAAGACACACACCUGGGCUUGUUGGCAGGAAUCAGAAGUUACUAUUUCUUGCCCUGUAAAGUGGUGAGCUGCUUCAAAGCACUGCUGGGAAAUGUCAAAACCUUGACAGCUUCACUAGAGGCAGUUAGAACCACAAUUUGUCUCUUAAGAUCUGCUUUGCUGUGAACUACAAGCACAGAUAUCUUGUUAAUCAUCCAACUGUUAGCCUGGGAUUUACGGUAAACACUCACACUUACUUUACAGUGACACACACACACCUGGUCCAGAGAAGCAGGAGUAUGAUAGUUUCAGCCAGGACUAAGGAGACAAAUGAAAGGAAAGUUGGCGAUGUAUUUGAGCAGCAAGUCCAAAGGCUCAAGAGGGAUAUUAAAGCUAUGUCUUCUCUGGCUUCCAUGCAGGCAGCAUGAGAAAUAUUGUGUGCAGGGGGAAUUGUGAAAGUGCUUCUGGAUCCUUCAUACUCUUAGAUUAAAAAAUUGUUUUUUCACAAUAACGUUACAACGUAUUCUCUGUAGCUUCAUGGUGACACAGACCUUUAUCCACAACAUUUAACAGCAUUGAUAGCAGAUUAAACCUUUUUUUUAAAUUGGGAAUCAAUAACAUAAAAAAAACUUUUUUUGUCUUUUUUGGCACAGUCCAAUUCAAUUCUCAUCUUAUCAAAUUUCAAGUCAAGAUAUAGUAUAUAAUAUAUAUUAUAUGAUAUAAUAACACUAUCUUUUAAAAUUGUUUUAUCUUUUAGUUUGACAUAGCCCUAAUGGCAAAUCUAUCCCCUAAUUCCCUGACAUCUUUCCACUGUUGACUAUUAAAUAAAGACAUAAAGUGCCCUUGAAAGUAAAGAGGGAAAGCAGAUGUCUUGUAUCCUGGAAGGUGAAUGCAGUGACUCUGAAACUGUGACUAAGGGUCCCUGCUCAGCAACUACUUGUCUGACAGCCUUCAGCAACACAGCUACCUGUGAGAGAAGAAACAUUGAAAAGGUCAUGCAAGAAAAGAACGUUUUUAAAAUAUCCUCACAUUAAAUAAAAUGUUCCUGUAAUUAGAAAUUACCUUUAAGUUUGUAUGUGACUUUACAUUGACUCUGGGGAGAUAAGAGGCAUAGUGUGAAUAUUUUGGGUUUUUAGUGUUAUUGA